CCCUGGUCGUCUGCCUGGAGCAGCUGAGCCAAGUGCACCUCCUUAUGUCCAGUUUGCAGCAACAAAGCCCACUUAGAGGUGGCUGCCACAGCUCUAGACAUCACAUCAACAUCCCAAGCAGCAAGGAUGGAGCAGGAACAAAUUCCACCUGGGGCAAGCAACUUCACUCAAGUACAGCCAGAAUUGGAGGAGAGAGAAUUUUACUACCAGAAAUUUCUGAGAACACAAUGACCUCAACCUGACAGCUUGGAGACGCUCAGGGGAGUCAGAAGGAGCACGAGACAGAGGCAGAAAGGAAGGGUCCAGUCUUUGUACCCUCUUGAGUGGGCUAAAAACUAGAGCAGAGUCAUGCCAUGUGACUUACAAUGCAAGGACAUAAAAGGUGAGAUCGUUUCUGCCAGUUCCCUCAUGGCCAAGAGGACACUUGCUCUUAGAACCCGGCCACCAUGCUGUGAGGAAGCCCAAGCAGCCACUCGGAGAGGACACACGUGGGUGCUCUGGCCGGUAACUCCAGGUGAGUUCCCAGACAAUAGCCAGCACUAACUUGCCAACCUUGUAAGUGAACCAUCUCGGAAGCAGCUCCUCCAGCUCCCGGUCAAGCUUCUGCAGUGGAUGCUACAUGGAACAGAGGUGAGCUUUCCCUAUCAAGCCCUGCCCAAUUUCAGAUUUGAGAACAUAACUAAUGAUUAUUGCUAUUUUAAGCCACUAAGUUUUGAGGUGGUUUGUCACCUGGUGGUAGUAACUGGAGUAGAGAUAAAAACAAAAUCCAGCUAUAUUCUGUUUACAAGGAAUAUAGAGAGAUGUAAUAACGUGGGCACCAGGGGAACGUUAGGUGAGAAGGUCAAAAUUAGUAAGUCGGAGCCCCAGCUGACAUGCAAAAUAUGUUCACCUUCUUAA